rnacentral:snRNA from 1 species
CUGCUUUGGCAGCACGUACACUAACAUUGGAAGAAUAUAGGUAAUAUUUGGCUGGCCCCUGUGCAAGGAUUACACACAAAUUCUUGAAUCCCAUAUUUUA